AUAAAGGAUCUUGAGCAAGAGCGCAAUUUCUUGCGUGAGCAAAUCACAGGAAAGAAGAGGUCAUCUCAAUCUAAAGUAUUAACGUUGGAGGACAACGAUGAGGAUGAUGAUGGCAACAUGGAUGAAGAUGACAUCAUUCCCCCAUCUUCUCCAGACAUCAGUGAGUCCUCGGACAGUGACGUUGUCAUCCAAAGAAAGAAGAAACGGCAGACAUAGCCACCUGCAACUGUUGCUGUUGUUGGAAAAGCUCAUGUAAGAGUGAAAGGGCCAGCUGAGGUUAUCAGCAGAUAUAAAAAAGUCUUGAAAAGCUUGAGCAAAGUCCGCACCAUGACUGAAGCCUUCAGAAUCAAUGGCGUGGACCGGGGAACCAUCAAGAUGACUGCUCCAAUUGCAGAGCUCCACAUUGUGGAUCCUGUAGCCUUCAACACUCUGAAGUAUGAUCCUGCAACUGAGACCCUGCAGUCCUUUGCUAAGAGGUGUGCAACGCACAUAACCCCUGAGAAGAAGCGCAUUAUAGAGGACAUGAAGGCCAAAUGCCAACUUCUCCCCUUGUUGAUGAAAUAUUAAGACUUAGCAAGCUGCUAUGUUCAGUUAAGAUUCUGUUGUAUUUCAAAAGUGAAAGUUUUGUGCACAGGGGAAUAAAUCAUCUGAUGCAGUAAUAACAGAGCAAGUUUAGGCUGUGGAAGUGCAAUGUUUGUACAGUUCAGUACAUUUGAUCUAACCUUUGACAAGUCAUGUUGAACUGCAGAUUUUAUAUUUUUUAUAUUUCUUUUUUUUUUGUAUUUUCUGUACUUUCUGUUGUGCAGUGUUUUUCAACAUUAGGUUACCUGUGUUAUUAUACAGUAGGAUCCACUUAGAGUUGUCAGUAUUUGAAAUUUCAGGAAGACCCUUUUACCUGUUCAACCAGUAUUUGUAAGCCUCUGGAAAACCUGAACCAGUGGAUUAAUAAAUGAGGAAUUUAUACUUGUGCUGUCUUUGUUAUUUUACCACUGAAUUAGAGGGAACCUAUAGAUAAAGCAGUUUUUUCAAAGGUGUAACCCAUCACUUGUUUAUUGCAGUAAUUAUGUGCUACAAUAUAUUUACUAAUUGUGAAAAGGAGGCAACUUUAGUUUAGGGAACAUUUGUUGGUGAAUAAGUGUUCAACUAUUAGUGAAUUAGUAAUGAUCAAGAUGCCACUUUAGUAUGGGGAACAUAUUCUAAGUAACAAAGACUUAAUUAAGAGCUAUUUGGACGCUAGUUUUGUAAUGUAAGAACAGACCAUAUUUACUAAGUGGUAAUGAAAAGUAAUGUUAAGUGGAGAAUAACUAUUCUUGGGCUACUACUGCCUUAUAAAGUCCAUACUAAGCAAAGCAUACUGAGAUGAUAAUUAAUAUACAACAACUUCCUUACUUAGUGCUAAUAAGCAAUAAUUCUGAGGUUACUGAGGGAAGACUCUUAGUUAAUGGCUUACUGGUUGUAUAAUAAGGCUAUGUAGAAUAAGACAUUAAUAAGUACUUUAUAACAACUAAUUAAUAGCUAAUAUGUUACUAAUUUGUAUGUUAAUUAGCAACUAAUUAAUAGUGAAUAGGUGUACCUUAAAA